ACGUUAUGCAUACGCGGAAGGAGACAUUACCGAGUUGCAAAACUCCCAAACCCACGCGUACCUACCUACACGUUGCUUCGGCGGUGCCGCCGUAGGGGUGUCUCCCAGCGGCUAAUCGGCCGCUGGCCCCCCGAGGGCGCCCGCCGGAGGUCACCAAACUCUUCUGUAUUUUCUGUAACCUCUGAGCGAAUGGCGAAUAAUAAAAACUUUCAACAACGGAUCUCUUGGUUCUGGCAUCGAUGAAGAACGCGGCGAAAUGCGAUACGUAAUGUGAAUUGCAGAAUUCAGUGAAUCAUCGAAUCUUUGAACGCACAUUGCGCCCGCCAGUAUUCUGGCGGGCAUGCCUGUUCGAGCGUCAUUUCAACCCUCAGGCCCUGCCUGGCGUUGGGGCACCGCGGCGGCGAAAGCCCUGCGGGCCCUGAAAUACAGUGGCGAGCCCGCCUGGACUCCGAGCGUAGUAGCAACACUCGCUCUGGGCGUCCCGGCGCGCGUCUGCCGUAAACCCCCCCACCUAACCAAAGGUUGACCUCGGAUCAGGUAGGAAUACCCGCUGAACUUAAGCAUAUCAAUAAAACGGAGGAA
rnacentral:rRNA from 1 species